rnacentral:misc_RNA from 1 species
UGUGAAGGUCCACGAGGCGGCCACC